rnacentral:rRNA from 1 species
UGGCUCAGGAUGAACGCUAGCGGCAGGCCUAAUACAUGCAAGUCGAACGGCAACCGGCAGCAAUGCUGGUGAGAGUGGCGGACGGGCGCGUAACGCGUAUGCAACCUACCUUACGGCGGGGGAUAGCCUGGAGAAAUCCAGAUUAAUACCCCAUGAGACCACGCCCCGGCAUCGGGGAGGGGUCAAAGAUUUAUCACCGUAAGAUGGGCAUGCGUGACAUUAGCUAGUUGGCGGGGUAACGGCCCACCAAGGCUACGAUGUCUAGCUGGUCUGAGAGGAUGAUCAGCCACACUGGGACUGAGACACGGCCCAGACUCCUACGGGAGGCAGCAGUAGGGAAUAUUGGACAAUGGGCGAAAGCCUGAUCCAGCCAUGCCGCGUGAAGGAUGAAGGGCCUCUGGCUUGUAAACUUCUUUUGGCGGGGGAUAAACCACCACUACAAGUGGUGCUGAAGGUACCCGCAGAAUAAGCACCGGCUAACUCCGUGCCAGCAGCCGCGGUAAUACGGAGGGUGCAAGCGUUGUCCGGAUUUAUUGGGUUUAAAGGGUGCGUAGGCGGUACGCUAAGUCAGUGGUGAAAUCCUGGGGCUNCACCCCGGAAUUGCCAUAGAUACUGGCAUGCUUGAGUUCGACCGA